rnacentral:rRNA from 1 species
GUGUCAGCAGCCGCGGUAAUACGUAGGGUGCGAGCGUUAAUCGGAAUUACUGGGCGUAAAGCGUGCGCAGGCGGUUAUGUAAGACAGAUGUGAAAUCCCCGGGCUCGACCUGGGAACUGCAUUUGUGACUGCAUGGCUAGAGUACGGUAGAGGGGGAUGGAAUUCCGCGUGUAGCAGUGAAAUGCGUAGAUAUGCGGAGGAACACCGAUGGCGAAGGCAAUCCCCUGGACCUGUACUGACGCUCAUGCACGAAAGCGUGGGGAGCAAACAGGAUUAGAAAC